UCUCUCAUCUCUGUCUCCCCUUUAAAGGAUGACUGAUUUCCUCUGGUGUUUAGAGCCUCAUACACCUUCUAGCACCAUUUGAAAUCGGUUAUAAUGACUGGGGAUCAAUGUCUUCA
rnacentral:miRNA from 1 species